rnacentral:rRNA from 1 species
CCUACGGGAGGCAGCAGUGAGGAAUAUUGGUCAAUGGGCGAGAGCCUGAACCAGCCAAGUCGCGUGAAGGAUGACGGCCCUACGGGUUGUAAACUUCUUUUGUCAGGGAGCAAUUGCGUGCACGCGUGCGCUUAGCGAGAGUACCUGAAGAAAAAGCAUCGGCUAACUCCUGACCAGCAGCCGCGGUAAUACGGAGGAUGCGAGCGUUAUCCGGAUUUAUGGGGUUUAAAGGGUGCGUAGGCGGACUGUUAAGUCAUCGGUAAAAGCCCGGGGCGCACCCCCGGCGUGCCGUUGAAUCUGGCUGUCUUGAGAUGUCGAGAGGUAUGCGGAAUGCGUAGUGUAGCGGUGAAAUGCUUAGAUAUUGCGCAGAACUCCGAUUGCGAAGGCAGCAUACCGGCGGCGAUCUGACGCUGAGGCACGAAAGCGUGGGGAGCGAACAGGAUUAGAUACCCCUGUAGUC